GGUAGACUAAAGUUGAAACCCAACAGAAGCCCCAAAUCAAGGUUCAGGCCUUCCAUGCGUUCAUACUCCAAGCUAGAUCUUUGGAUAUAUUCCACCUUUCAAGUCUCCUUUUAGGUUUUGUAGUCAAAGAAAUAUUCCAAACAAUUUAAAAUUUUAGUAACACAAGAUAAACCAAGGACAUGAUAGACAACAUUUUAGGUUUUGCUAGUCAAAGGAAUUGACUACAAUGCACUUAAAUACAUAAAUGUCAGAAGGUACUUCAUCAGGAAUAGUACUUGCCUUGAGGUUCCAUGCCAUUUGUUCAUUGUUUGUAU
rnacentral:lncRNA from 1 species